rnacentral:rRNA from 1 species
UAAGACGGAGGGUGCAAGCGUUGUUCGGAUUUACUGGGCGUAAAGGGCGUGUAGGCGGAAUUGCAAGCCGGGGGUGAAAGGCCUGGGCUCAACCCAGGACGGUCUUCCGGAACUGCAGAUCUUGAGAGAGUCAGAGGCAGGUGGAAUUCCAGGUGUAGAGGUGAAAUUCGUAGAUAUCUGGAGGAACACCGGCGGCGAAGGCGGCCUGCUGGGGCUCUUCUGACGCUGAGGCGCGAAAGCGUGGGUAGCAAACAGGAUUAGAUACCCUGGUAGUCCACGCUGUAAACGAUGAGCACUAGAUGUGCGCGGUACGACCCCGCGUGUGUCGCAGCUAACGCGAUAAGUGCUCCGCCUGGGGACUACGGUCGCAAGACUA